rnacentral:rRNA from 1 species
GGUCCACCCCUAUCCAUUCCGAACAGGGAAGUUAAGCCCGUCAGCGCCGAUGGUACUGCCACACCAGGUGGAAGAGUAGGUCGCCGCCUUUU